UACGGAGGGUGCAAGCGUUAUCCGGAUUCACUGGGUUUAAAGGGUGCGUAGGCGGGUCUUUAAGUCAGGGGUGAAAUCCUGGAGCUCAACUCCAGAACUGCCUUUGAUACUGAGGAUCUUGAGUUCGGGAGAGGUGAGUGGAACUGCGAGUGUAGAGGUGAAAUUCGUAGAUAUUCGCAAGAACACCAGUGGCGAAGGCGGCUCACUGGCCCGAUACUGACGCUGAGGCACGAAAGCGUGGGGAGCAAACAGG
rnacentral:rRNA from 1 species